ACUCUAGUGGUCUAGUGGUUAGAGCAUCUGCCUUGGAUGCAGGAGGUCAUGGGUUUGAUCCCAGGCCGAGAUA